UAGGGAAUAUUAGUAAUGGGCGAAAGCCUGAACUAGCAACGCCGCGUGUGCGAAGAAGGCCUUCGGGUUGUAAAGCACUUUUUGAGAGGAUGAGGAAGGACGGUACUCUCAGAAUAAGUCUCGGCUAACUACGUGCCAGCAGCCGCGGUAACACGUAGGAGGCAAACGUUAUCCGGAUUUACUGGGCGUAAAGCGCGUGUAGGUGGUUUGGCAAGUAGGGCGUGAAAGCUCCUGGCUCAACUGGGAGAGGCCGUUCUAAACUGCUGAACUAGAGGAUGGUAGAGGGAGGUGGAAUUCCGGGUGUAGCGGUGGAAUGCGCAGAUAUCCGGAGGAACACCAGUGGCGAAAGCGGCCUCCUGGACCAUUCCUGACACUCAGACGCGAAAGCUAGGGUAGCAAACGG
rnacentral:rRNA from 1 species